rnacentral:lncRNA from 1 species
GGGACUGUCACCAGCUGCCCACUUCCAGGAAUCUCUUCUAAUCCAAGGAAAUUCUGAUUCAAGAUUCCUUUAAGACUCCACAAGGUCACUCAAGAGUAGAAUUAGAUUCCAUUAUGGGAGCCUUGGGCAUACUUCAAAUGCAGUGUCUAGGCAGGCUUUGUCCUUGAGAGGAUUUAUUUCAAACACUUGAGGAAUGCCUAAGCUGCUUCUUCGUCCUAAGGGGACCAUGGGACAGCCCAGAUCAGGCUUACCUAUUUCAGUUCACAGUGUGGUGGAGUUGCAGAAGAAAUUCUUCCUGGAGGAAAUGGCUCCCAAGCAGAGUCUUAAAAAAUUAACAGAGGUUACACUGAGGAAGAGAAAUGAGAAGGCAUUCCGGAGAAAAGAACUAGCAAAAUCCAGGGUAUAGAAAACAGCAUGGUGUUUGCUGGCUAAUACAACAUGAUAAUGAAUGUGAAGUUCACCGUGAGCUAUAAAACCCUGUACACAUGGAAGGAUUUCUUAAUAAAGU